AUCUCUGGAAGUGCGAAAGGUGAGCUAGUACAGGAUGGACCCGCGUCUGAUUAGUUAGUUGGUAAGGUAACGGCUUACCAAGGCGACGAUCAGUAGCCGACCUGAGAGGGGGAUCGGCCACAUUGGAACUGAGACACGGUCCAAACGCCUACGGGAGGCAGCAGUGGGGAAUAUUGCACAAUGGGCGAAAGCCUGAUGCAGCAACGCCGCGUGAGUGAUGAAGGCCUUCGGGUCGUAA
rnacentral:rRNA from 1 species